rnacentral:rRNA from 1 species
AAAGAUUAAGCCAUGCAUGUCUAAGUAUAAACGAUCUAAUCGUGAAGCCGCGAAUGGCUCAUUAUAACAGCUAUAAUUUACUUGAUCUUGACACUAUCCUACUUGGAUAACUGUGGUAAUUCUAGAGCUAAUACAUGCAUUAAAGCUCUGACCUCACGGGAAGAGUGCACUUAUUAGAACAAAACCAAGCGGCUUCGGCCGUUUUCGGUUGACUCAUAGUAACUGAGCUGAUCGCACGGUCUUGCACCGGCGACGUGUCUUUCAAGUAUCUGCCGUAUCAACUUUCGAUGGUAGUGUAUCUGACUACCAUGGUGAUCACGCGUAACGGAGAAUAAGGGUUCGGCUCCGGAGAGUUCGCCUGAGAAAUCGCGAACACAUCUAAGGAAGGCAGCAGGCGCGAAAAUUACCCACUCUCAGCACGAGGAGGUAGUGACGAAAAAUAACGAGACCGUUCUCUUAUGAGGCCGGUCAUCGGAAUGGGUACAAUUUAAACCCUUUAACGAGUAUCUAUGAGAGGGCAAGUCUGGUGCCAGCAGCCGCGGUAAUUCCAGCUCUCAAAGUGCAUAGAAUUAUUGCUGCGGUUAAAAAGCUCGUAGUUGGAUCUGUGCCAUAGGACGUGGUCCACCUUCUGGGUGCGUACUAUGUUCCUAGGCUUUUUGCUGGUUUUCCCGUCGUAGCCUUAACUGGUUGCGGCGGGUGGCUGGCGAGUUUACUUUGAGAAAAUCAGAGUGCUCAACACAGGCGUAUCGCUUGAAUGAUUGUGCAUGGAAUAAUAGAAAAGGAUUUCGGUCCUCUUUUAUUGGUUUUGUGGACUGAGAUAAUGGUUAACAGGGACCAACGGGGGCAUUCGUAUUGCUGCGUGAGAGGUGAAAUUCUUGGACCGUAGCGAGACGCCCUACUGCGAAAGCAUUUGCCAAGAAUG